AGUGAACGCUGGCGGUAGGCCUAACACAUGCAAGUCGAACGGCAGCACAGUAAGAGCUUGCUCUUACGGGUGGCGAGUGGCGGACGGGUGAGGAAUACAUCGGAAUCUACUUUUUCAUGGGGGAUAACGUAGGGAAACUUACGCUAAUACCGCAUACGACCUACGGGUGAAAGCAGGGGAUCUUCGGACCUUGCGCGAUUGAAUGAGCCGAUGUCGGAUUAGCUAGUUGGCGGGGUAAAGGCCCACCAAGGCGACGAUCCGUAGCUGGUCUGAGAGGAUGAUCAGCCACACUGGGACUGAGACACGGCCCAGACUCCUACGGGAGGCAGCAGUGGGGAAUAUUGGACAAUGGGCGCAAGCCUGAUCCAGCCAUACCGCGUGGGUGAAGAAGGCCUUCGGGUUGUAAAGCCCUUUUGUUGGGAAAGAAAAGCAGCAGGUUAAUACCCCGCUGUUCUGACGGUACCCAAAGAAUAAGCACCGGCUAACUUCGUG
rnacentral:rRNA from 1 species